UUGUGUAGUCACUAAACAAAAACAUAGGCAUGAAAAAAAAAAAAGAAAUAACAGUAAAAAAACGGAACAAAAGAACAAGAUUGGAUCAACAGUAUGUCAAAUGGAAAUGGGCUUGGCAUAAUUUCAGCUUAUAGGCCCAAAAUUUCUUUCCCUUCAAGGUUAAACUCAUAACCAAUAUAAAAGCCCAAACCUUAAACGUAUUCUUAGCAACUUUCUUGCUUCCCAGAUAUUUGCAUUAGAACAAAAACAUCCUUGCAUAAGAAAUCAAAGCUAAUAAAUCAAUCAACAUUUCAAUAAAGAAAAUCAAAGGAAACAGUAGUAUAGUCUCGUGUAGUCACUAAACAAAACAUAGGCAUGAAAAAAGAAGAAGCAAUAACAGUAAAAAAAAAAAGAACAAAAGAACAAAAUUGGAGAUGGAUUGAACACUAACUCAAACAACAAAGUAAGGCGACAUGAUAAUUAUUAGAAUAAAGUAGUAAAAGAAUAGAAAGAACAAACCUUUGGUAUAAAUCAACGAAAUUGGAAUUACAAGAGGUUAAACAACUCGACGACUGUUGACCGGCGCUUUCGCCGGCGGACAUGGACGAAACCGGCAACUCGAGACCUCAACGGCAACCACGAACUCCACUUCGAUGCCCCCUGUUUACAUUCAAAGUGUGGUUGUUCGGGGGUGCUUUAAUGGCUGUUUCGAGUUGGAUUGUGGGUGAGUCUUAGGUGGCUUUUCAAGGCGGUUAAUGGUCUGCUUUCAGCUGGAUUUCGGGACUGAUUUUUGUCCUGUUUUAGGUGCUGAUUUUGUUGUAUUUUAAGAGUAAUUUCAGCUUCAAUUUUUGAGUGCUUUUGGGUGGUUAUGGACUGUUUUUGAAACUGUUUUGUGGCUAUUUUUUAGCAGCAUUUUUGGCUGCAUUUUUAGAGCCGAAAUUUCAUCUUUUCAUGGCUGAAAACGAGCUGGAGGUGGGUGGCUUUUUCAGCUGCAUUUGGGGCUGUGUUGGGGGUAUUUUGGAGGCUGAUUUCUGGUACUUUUUUGCUGGAUUUUUGUUACAUUUGAGCUCUCGUUUGGACUGAUUUUCUU
rnacentral:lncRNA from 1 species